CCUACGGGAGGCAGCAGUGAGGAAUAUUGGUCAAUGGACGAGAGUCUGAACCAGCCAAGUAGCGUGAAGGAUGACUGCCCUAUGGGUUGUAAACUUCUUUUAUAAAGGAAUAAAACGAGGCACGUGUGCCUUUUUGCAUGUACUUUAUGAAUAAGGAUCGGCUAACACCGUGCCAGCAGCCGCGGUAAUACGGAGGAUCCGAGCGUUAUCCGGAUUUAUUGGGUUUAAAGGGAGCGUAGAUGGGUUGUUAAGUCAGUUGUGAAAGUUUGCGGCUCAACCGUAAAAUUGCAAUUGAUACUGGCAGUCGUGAGUACAGUUGAGGUAGGCGGAAUUCGUGGUGUAGCGGUGAAAUGCUUAGAUAUCACGAAGAACCCCGAUUGCGAAGGCAGCUUACUAAACUGUGACUGACAUUGAUGCUCGAAAGUGUGGGUAUCAAACAGGAUUAGAUACCCCAGUGUC
rnacentral:rRNA from 1 species